rnacentral:tmRNA from 1 species
GGGGGCGAAUAAGAUUCGACAGGGGUGGUGAGGACCCUAGCUGCGAGCCGAGCAUCCGUGACUCGUAAAUCCGCGGAACAAGAUAAACACCAAACCAAGUUACGCCUUAGCUGCCUAGAGCAGUUAACGUUUCGCCGACCCUCGCCCGCUGGCCCGGCAGAAACGUCAAAUCGCGGGCUACCUGCCAGGCGACUUCCCGUAGCCAGACAGGGAACCUAACGGGAUAGCGAGACCGGCACCUUGCCCCUUGAGGGACCGGCCGAGCGAAUAAGAAAACAGGGGCUACGCUCGUAGACGCUUAGGUCAUUGCGCUUCUGGACGAGGGUGCAAUUCCCUCCGCCUCCACCA